CACAGAGCUCCUCAAAGAGCACACCAUCAGAUUUCCUGGCAUGGUGCAAUUCCCCGGACCCUUGGCAUUUUGCAGCCCUUAGAAAAGUUUUCUUGCUCAGGGCUUUGUUAGUGUUUGAUGUUUUUAAAACACUAAGCAGACACUACUCUCCUAAUCCCGCCAGACUUGGCAAUGAAGCAGAUAUGUAAUCCUUCACAGGUAUUAAAUUUAAUAGCAAUAAAGGAUAUUUAAGAAUUACACUGUCAAAUGCCUGCCUAAGCAGAGGAAAAUAUUCUUAAUUCAAACUUCUUCAGAAAUCUAUUUCCAGUUGUUGUUUCCUGUGAAAGCCUCCCCUGCAUGUGUGGGAGUAAAGAUGAGAAAAAACAGCAACAGGCGUCCCCAGAUCUCUCUUUUCUCAACAUUUACAGCAGAAACAUUUCCCUGGGAUGUAUGACUAGAUUCACAUGUGUGCACCUACUUCUACAGGACUUCUAUGCAUAACAGCAGAGGUAGAUGAAUUCAGGGGCACCCUUGUGCAUAAGGAAAAGCCCCAAGCAGUGUGGUACAUAUUCAUGCCAAAUGAAGGAUUUUGGGGGGUGGGUGGGAGGUGAGCUGGGGGCUAUGAGAGGGAGGAGGUGGGAGCCCCAUUGCAGGCAGGACCAGCCAGCCCUGGGAGCCACCCCUACAGAGAUGUGAGCAAGAGAUGGGGGAAUCUGAAUAAGGAACGGAGGGCACACUCCUGAGGAGGGGAGCAGCAAGGAAAAGUCUUUGAGCCACUGAUUUUGGAUCCUCUUCUAAUUCAGGAACUGUAGCUUGGAUUUAUUGGAUCAAACAUGGGGGCAAGCAGCUCAGUUUCCCAGCUGAAAAGCAGGUUUCUCAGCUGAGUAAACAGCUGAGUUAACUACCUAAUUUAACAAUAAUUUUAGCAGGUGAUUAAAAGCUUUAACUCAGCCUUUACUAUUGGCAUCAAAUGAAUGAAAGGUUCUUCUCCAACCCAUGAUUCCCUAGUGCUGUAGCUGGGAGCCCCAAUACAGGCAGGGGGGUGAGGUAGAGCUGCUGUGGUGGUGGAACCCAAGGUAUGGCUCAUGGUGGGGGGGUUGUCCUACAAAAAAAGGCUUUUGUGAGACAUCAGGUUGGAAAAAGAAGAGGAAAACCCCAUCUACCCUGGCCAUGAGCUAUGUGGCGGGCAAAACACAGAAAUGGUUGUUUCAGAUGCUGAGUGACUUUUCUCCAAGCAACAAUUUCCAUCUUCUUCUCAGCAGCCACAGCACAAAGCACUGAAAGUCGGGACUGGAGAGGCGCUUCAGAGGUGAGAACUGCCUGAAAUCCAGCUCAUCUAGAGCUUGUCGCUUCCUAUCAGGGCACUGCACAAACAAAUCCUAUCUGAUGUGACUGACCCCUCUCACCUCCGCUCGCUGCCACUCCAGCCUGCCAGGUGGUCAGGCACAGUUUUUCUGUGGUUUGCAAGAAAACUUUUUCCAUUUGACAAAAAUGAGCCCUGUGGUAUUGUUCAGACGCAUCUAGCAGUCAGCACAGGAACUGCCUGAGACCACAGGCUAAUUAAGGAGCCUUUAAAUAGUUUCCGCCACUGAUAUGAUAAAGCGCUGACUCUUGAGAUGAGGAAACCUGGAGAAAGGUGACAGGGUUUUCCAUGCCACCACCCUCUCCUCUCCUACAACCAGCUGUUGGUGACUGCCUUCCCAGGAAAGCCACUUAAUGCUGAGGCAUUGCUGGAAUAUGCUCCUUCCCUAUUCUAGAAUCAUAGAACAGUUUGGGUUGGAAGGGACCUUCAAACCCCACCCAGUGCCACCCCUGCCAUGAGCAGGGACAUCUUCACCAGCUCAGGUUGCUCAGAGCCCCGUCCAGCCUGGCCUGGGAUGUCUCCAGGAAUGGUUCAUCCACCACCUCUCUGGCCAACCUGGGCCAGGCUCUCACUACCCUCAAUGUAAAAAUUUCUUCCUCAUGUCUGGCCUGAAUCUUCCCUCCUUUAGUUUAAAACUGUCACCCCUUGUCCUAUGGUAACAGGCUCUGCUAAAAGUCUGUCCCCAUCUUUCUUAUCAGCCCCUUUUAAGUACAGAAAGGCCACAAUAAGGUCUCCCUGGAGCCUUCUCCAGGCUGAACAACCCCUACUCUCUCAGCUUGUUCUCAUAGGACAACUGUCCUAUUCCUCUGAUCAUUUCUGUGGCCUCCUCUGGCCCCUCUCCAGUAGGUCCAUGUCUUUCCUUGUGUUUUUCUCAAUGGGGUUUAUUCACAUCUGACCUAUGCCCGGCCAGCACAGACAUCUCCAGGCUGCUCCCCUCCCUCCUGCCAGGUCUCAGCAGGCUGAGCCAGCUUGGACACCAACUCACUCUACACAGAAAGCCGAGGAAAGAGCUGGAGUUCGCAGAUAUCCUUAAAAACCCAGACCGUCCCUGGGCUGCAGUAGGGGGCCCAGCACUGAAAUCGAUUUUGGUUUGAUCCUGAUUAGAAGAAGGCGGGAGCCUGAGCCAGCGCAGCCCCCAUUGCUCUUAACCUCAGAUGACCCCAUGUAAACGCUGAGCACUAAAGCUCUGCCAGCCGCAGGGACUGGCGGCUGCUGGCAGCGUUCCGCUGUACCGACCUGUAUAAAACUCCUCUGCAAAGAGUCUGGGAUCCCAGUGAGUAGUUUUCACGCCUGAGGAUGGGAGUCUUUUUAAAUAAGUCUUUUGCUGUAAAGCGAGACUUCAUCUUUGCAGGUCCUUCGUCAUCUUUCAGGCAUCUGCUGAAGAACCGCCACCUAGAUACCAAUGCUGGGUCCUUUUGAAAGCAACACAGGUGUUGUAUUUCCUAUAUAAAGUAUAUAGCCCUUAGAAAGCAUUUAGUCUAUACUGUUUUACAUUAGCUAAAACCUGUGAGAUAAAUGUCUUUUGAAUGGAGAACUUGAGCUGAAUUCCAACAUGGAAUAAGCAGACUGAAAUCCCCAAAACUUGUUUUUUACACAGUUUGAAAUGUGUGAUAAAAGGCGCAUAUUUCUGUGGCUGAGUCACCUCUUCAAACAGAGUGUCACAUUAAUGUUUGCCUAGAAACACCUUCCCUCAGAGUGGCCAGCCUUGACCCUUUCAGACAGCACAAAAACUUAUAUAUAUAUAUAUAACUUCAGUAGCUUCUCAUACUGUCUGACCAGCUGCCAGAAGCCGCUCAGGAGUUGCCUUCCUUUCGAGGCAAGGACACAAACAGGAAUUUGAAUUAUGUCCUCAAUUUCCUCUUAAAAGGUAAAAUUGACUUUUUAACAAAUUAGAGAGGUUGGCUGAACAUGGCCUGUUCUGUGAUGGAUGCUGUGUACCUGCUGACUGAUGAAGGCUGUAAAUCUGUGGUUCACCCGAUGGAGUAACACCGAUUUACAUGGGCUGGGGAUUGAGACCAUAGGAUUUAUGUUAGACAGCGUGACUUUUGACUCCUGGUUGUGUCCUGGGGAGUGAGGGAAAGGAAAAACUCACCCGAGCGAAGACGGCCACUUGCCUCCAUGUCUGGGGAAGCACAAUAUUGGCCUCUUAAUUUCCUACUGAUUAAACUGUAGGAAAACAAAAUCUGCUUUGCCUGGAGCAAUUUGGCUUCUGCUCAAAAGCUUUCUCAUCAAAAUGAAAUAUCAUUUGCUGUGAAACCGUUAGCAGGAGCAUAAAUGUAGUUGUAAAAGCUGCUGUUUGUAAAAAAACAAAUGGGGAGAAGCAAAAUGCUGUGAUUUAGGGGGAAAUCUCUGCAGGACAUCUGGAUGGCAAAACUUCUUACAAAGCCCGUGUCUCAUCAGAAUUGUCUGUUUACUGGUUUAUUCAGAUGCUGGUGUCUGUAUGUGGACCAUACAGGUACAGAAACCUUUGCUUUGCCAACAUUUCUUGUCUAAGGGAUGAGCUGGUUUGCCUGGGGCUGGUGGGACCUCCAGUUUAACACUGGUGUCCCCAAGCCCCGAGGUGAGGUUGGUGGCAUCUCGUCGGGAAGCACAAGGCAAGAAAAGGUGGUGUAGCCUCUCCAACACCCACAAACUAUCAGCAGCAGGACUUCAGGCUGGAAAACAAAGUGUUACAGAAAGAAGCAACCUAAAUAAUCCUUUAUAAUGACGAGUAAAUAACAGGUUGUUUUAGUCCUGGGAAGUAGCCACAAGAGGGAGAUGUGAUUGGAUACACCCAGUCUGUGUCUUUAAUAGGCAGAAAUAUCGAGCAAUUUAGUAUUAAUUCAGAGAUCACUAGAAGCUCAGGAAGGAAUUUCGUCACAGGACUCUGCAGUUUUGCAGUGACCAAGUAGCUGCGCUGAAUUUAGGAAGUACUUUUACAAUGGCAAAAAUACGGUUAUUUUUCUUCCCCUAAAAUCUCCUUAGUCCUCAUGAAAAAUAGUGUUUUCUCGAAUAUUGCCUGAAUUACAUGAAUCAUUUUGAGUGAAAACAGGGGGAAAAUGUUGACUUCCCCAAAACCCUAUGAAAAUGAGGAGUGAAAUUUUCAUUUCAAGUUGAUUUAAAAUAAGUGUUUGAUCAGUGAACCAAAAAAUCCCUCAUUCAGACAGCACAGCAUAAUUAUCUCACCCUCAAGGGCAGACUGACCAAGUGAUGUUGAGGCAUUUGGAGCGUGUUAUGGAGAUGACUUGAAUCUGCUUCCUGCAUUCUGUGCUUUAUGUUUAAACAAAAUGUUUCCCGAAAGCUAUCAGUCUAUCACCUUUCCCCUGUCUGAGAGUCACUCCUACUAAAAAUAAAUGUCCUUAUUUCUCCUCUGUCUCUUUUUUUCCCCUCUAUCCCCUACAAACCGAGAAUCUAACAUCAGGAGCUUUGCAGGGCUGAAGAUUUAGGAAAGGACUUGUAAGCACAGCCAGUGCUGUGGAUUCUCCCUUUAAAAUCAUCGCCAUGUCCUUUAGAUCGUCCAGCUCUGGACUCGUUGUAACAAUGGGGAAAAAACAGCAUUUUUUUUCCUCCUCUUAGUGCUGCUUCUGUUACGUAACUGCUAAUACAGUAUCUGGCUCAUCCAGCCCGUCGGUCCUUGGGGCUUUUAGACCUAUUUACACACAAACAGACUAACAUCCAUCUGAAAGUCAUCUCAGGCACAGAGAAGCGAUCCCUUUGCCUCCCUGAAAUAACAAUCCUUUCUUCUUUUUUGCGGGGCACUGAAUAACUGUUUGGCAAAGCAAGUGCCAUGUUGGUGCUUAGAUUAAUCUGCUUAGAUCGACUAACACAGUUGUGCAAGAGUAGAAAAUACCCAGUCAAGUAAAUUACAUCAUCCAGGGAAAAGCUAUUCUAAAGAAAGAACAUUUUAUAAGCCUGAGCAAAAUCCUGUUCCGUUAAACAUUUACAUAUAUUUACAAGCAAGAGCAGAAGCUCAUUCUUUUUCUUGUGGGAAAAAAGAAAAUUAAAAAGAUCUUUGAAGUUUUGGCUAAUGAAAAAUCAUCUGACUAAAUAAACCACUGGACAAGAUCCAGAAUGAAUUAAAACCCCAUUAUAGUUUUUCUCACAUGAGUAGUACCAAGGUGUUACAUAGCGCCCUGUGUAAGAAAUGGCAAUUCCCUGGCUAAAAUUGGGGCUGUCUUUGAAAUGUCACGUUCUUCCUCCUGUCAGGUCAUCUUGAUGUUUCAUUAAAUUCUGUUGUUCUCUUUGCAUUCUGAAAUAUGAGAGGAAAAUAAAAUGAACUUUGAGGGGAUGAGGGAAUUUAGAGGCCAUGACCACAUCUGGAUUCAAAUGCUUAACUCCUGCUGACUUGGUUUUUAGCGUCCCCACACAGAAAUGUUUUUAGUGGAAGAUCUGCUGUCGAUGGUGAGACCUGAAAAAGGCUGAUGCUGCAACGCCUGGCUGCGAGCAGCUCUCUGGUUCAGCUUUCUAGGCUGGUCCCUGAAAACAUUUGCUAGAGGAACUCUUUAGGUUUUAGCAAAAAGAAAGAUGGGAUCAAAACUUAAAGUCUCUUCUUGCGAUGGGGCCUGGGCUGUUGCCAUCAUACCCAGGUGCAGGACAGACGUGAGCUCUCGCUCACAACGUCCCACUCUGGUGUGCCCUCAGGAAUUACAACCACAAUUACAAGCACCUCAAUGAUCCCCAAAAAAAAGAGGAAAAAAUGCCACCACGAAUGUGUUGGAAGGGCGGCAGAGGGCACAGACCAGAUCUUGGGGUUUCCAUUACAUUCCCUGGACCAGAGUCCAUUCCAGCCACCUUACACCCCUUGCUGGCAAAACCCCAUCAAAAUAAAACAUCAUGCUGGAAUGAAGCGGCGGUUGUGCAAAAACAGCUGAACACGACACAGCCAGGUCCACAGGGGUCACACUCCGUGCACAGGCCCCUGAACCCAGCCUUAGGUCGCACUGUGCCUCUGUUUUGGUUUUGCUUUUGCAGAAAGCUCUGUGUCGUACCAGGAGCUCUGCUUCAGCUUUCUGACGUUUUCCUGAAAGUUCUCUAGCAAAGCUCCUUGCCGUGGUUUGAGCCUAAGACAACACUUUGGGCCCAAAUAUGUAACUGUAUCACAUAGGAAAUUCCCACAGAAUGGAAUAGAUGUGUAUAAUGUGGUUGGACUAAGACCAUAUUUCAACUUUGUGUUGUUUUUUUUUUUCAAGCCCUGGUUGAACUUUGGCUUGGUAGAAAAUAAGAUAUAAGUUCAAAUUAUUUUUUUUCUCUCUUCCUCCUAAAUUCAUCUUAUCGAGCUCUCUUCAAUUUUAGGACCUACAUAUUCAAUUUAUAUUCAUCUUAUUUCGGAAUGACCUUUGCUUGCUACCUUUCCCUCCCAUCUCUUUUCAUCUGCUUUCUCCUGUGCUCUUGAUUCACUUUUGCUUGAACUCAUAUCACAGAGAAUCACAAAAUCGACUGGAUUGGAAAAGACCUCAGAGAUCAUCGAGUCCAACCCUUGAAAUAAGGGGUACAAGGAAAUAUGAAAUAAGAACAGCCAUAUUAGUAACAAAAAAGGAUCAAAUCUCUGCAAGUGUAAUUUAGCCUUGUAGGAUUUUCUCUGCCCAAUCAUGUUAGCAGACUAUUCAGCUAAUGUGAAUUUUAAAACCAGCUAUUGUAUAUUAUAUAUUAGCGUCUACAGUGUGUGCACGCGAUCAGCUGGGAGCUGGGUGAUUCAUCUCUAUAAGACUGAAUAUUGCUCAAGAGUUGGACUGAGCAGCAUUAAUCAGGUUCUUCGCCCUGAUCACCUUGCCCUGGCCUGUGUCUCUCCAGCUUUCCUCCAUCUCCUCCUUUCACCAGGUCGAUCCCGCAGGUACUCUCAGUUGUAAUUUCAUACCAGCACUGCAGAUAACCACAUGUAUGCAACGUGUAAAUACAACCAUACAUAUAGGUCUUUGCAGCGUCAGAGUCGUAAUAUCACAUGCAUUUUUAUUAUAUGUAUUACACAGAGUCUUUCUGUUCAUAAGAAUGAGGAAAGUCCUUAAUAAGCAUUAUUACUAUUAUCAGUAUUUAGCGACGGUCUUGCCACUGGCAUAAGUGUUCCUAUGUAAGCAUAUAUUAAAUGCAUACGUAAAAUCCCCAGACUAUUUUUUUUAAUGCUGCAAAUGAGCUGAUAAAUGAUUGCAGCCUGUUGGGAUUAUAAUAUGAAUUGACAUUCAGAAGAAAAAAAUCUGACUCCAUCUGUUUGGGUUACAUAAUUCGUGAUCUCAAGCAAUCUCAGAGGCAGGAUUUUCUGCAUAAAUAGUACAAUUUCCAGUAAGGAGAUUAAAGCAGCUUUGCUGGAAAAGGAAAAAAUUACCAGAAAAGCUGACGUUUCAAUGAACACAAAUCAUGUUCCAAAAUACACAGGAAGACAAAUUCAUGUCAUUGAGUCCCUCUCCCCCAGAUGCUCCUUCCCCACCUGUCACAGAGAGCAGUAUUUUGCCACAAAAUGCCAUUCAUCCUCCAAACAGUCAUGAAAUGGGGUCAGCUGUAUUUUCUACGUACGUCGACUCUUUUAAAAACUAGCGCUGCUAUUAAUAUUGUGCAUUUAUUACAGUUUUAAUCCCAGUGAGUUUUUCUUUCUUAAUAUCCGGUGGCUUUCUGGAAGUGCCAGACUUCAGUAAAUCCACGUAUAUUCCACGAGUGUAAGCAGAGGCACUCAGAGCAGCCUGGCAGCAGAACCCACUGCAAGUGAUGGAGGGAAACUCUCCCUCAGCAGCUGACGGCGCCGUGUCCACGCUCUGCAAAACCAUGUCUCGUGUGUACCCACGGGAGUUUCUCCUCUUUUACAUCUAGAGUAACAUUUUGGCACGGACUGAGACAUGGCUCCUCAGCAGAUGCUUCCUUCCUCUCUCUGCUGUCUUCUCCUCGGAAAGCCGAGCGAGUCUGGGGAAAUGAACUUGGCCAUGCUGAUAUGCAGAAGAAAUGGCUCAGCAAAGGGGAACAGCUUCCCUGGAAGCGUGCACCCAGCAGCAUCGGCGAACAGUCAAACUCAACGUGCUUUGGCGAAGUGUCCCAUUUGGUACCUGGGAAACUGCUGCUUAUGACCUGCUACAGCAAAACGUCACAGAGGUGACCUGAGAGAGUGGAAAUUAUUUGUGGAUGGGAGGGAUUACAGAGUUGGCAUCUUCUCGCUGCCCAUCCUCCCUUCUUCCAUGUGCAUCCCUGCACCUUGGCAGUCCUUGCUAUUUGUGGGAUAUCACACCUGGUAUGUCCCCCCUGGGCACCACAGUCAAAGCUUUCUCAUCAAAACCCCUGUGUCUCGGCUUCACAAAAACCCCACUCCAACAUGCUGCCCACGGAGGUAAACACAGGUUUCCACAGCUGGGGAUCUGUAUUCCUGGAAAUAAGCUGAAUAUUUAAGGGGAAAACCCUGGGUUUCCCUGCCUCACCAGGUUCUGCAGGCAGCAUAUUUAGAGUCUGCAUGGGUGCCAUAGCGAGUACUAACCCGAGAAUUGCGAUAUGUCAUCGCACGUAUGAUGGACUACAAAUGCUUCCUCCCAUCUGAAAGGAGAAAGGACAACUUCUGGCCUGGCCAAGCAGAGAAGCAGGGGGUAGCUGGGGCUGAAGGAAAUGGAGACAGUCCCCUCAACCCAGGCCCAUGUAACCCCACAUGCCCCAAGAGUCUGCAGUCACUUUGUAAAGGUCAAAAUCACAUUAUAACGGGACAUGAACUCUGAUGUCGUUUUGGAGUGACCGAUCAAUAUUCCUGGCAUGGGAGAGCGGCCAGUGAUGAGGCAGAGUCCCACUGUCACGGCCAGGCUCGGCAGCACCGUGUGGCUUGACAGCGAGUUUAUAAUACAGAGUUGUUAAUGUAUUUACGCUUUAAUUGCUAUUUAGCAACGAGGCACUUGGGAGGAGUCACCUAGGCAGGAGAGAUUACAGAGGGCCAACAGAAGAAGAGAUAUUAAUCAAUAGAUUGACUUUCUCUGGUCAGAUGUGUUAGCUAACUCCAGGAAAUUAUACUUUCCUCAUACCCCUCCUAUGAGCCUGCAAGAGCUUGGCCUGAUUUCACUGACACCCAGGACUUCAAAGCUGGCCACAUCCAGUCUCAGGAAGGACGCCUGGGUCUGACACAGGCCAUAACCCUGUGACCAGCAGCUGCCUCUGCCUAGCAGCAUUUUUAGGUGAGCGUGCAUAUGCACCAAUUAAGUACUUGCACCUAGAUGUGCAGUUCUAUAAUAUAUUUUAAAAAAUAAACUGUUUUUUCUGUCUCAGACAUGAUAGAUGGAACUUUACUACUCUUUCCGCAGGGCUGCAGUUGCAGUUUCUUUGCCAUCGUAUGCGGCAGAGGCUGCAGGACACUCACACAUUCUACAGAAACUCUGAGGUCAUACGGAAACUUUUCAAAUUAAUGAGGGCUCCUGGACAUGAGAUAACUGUUUUGCAAAAUAAACAUUGCUCCUGAGUAGUUUUCAGCUCGUUUAAGUCAUUUUCAGCCCAUUUUUUAAAGACAAGUUUGCUUUGCGGGGAAAAAUAAUAAAAGUUGUAUGAUGCAAGUUACUUGUCUUUUCUUGACGGGGUAAAAACAUGUGAGGGACUUUUUGUCUGUAAAAAAGUCCCUGCCAGGAGGAUUGGUGGUUACCGUGCAGGUCUGUGAAUUUGGAAAGUUGGGAUGUGUCCCUGAGGAGCUCACUGGCUGCCUACGUGAUCUUGAAGAAGUCAGUGGACUGGCAACGAGCUGACCUUUGUGUUGAGCCAAGCCUGCGUGUCUGCACUUUGAGGGAGGAGAGGGUGUUUUCUCUUGGGUUUUAUUAUUGUGGCUACGUUUCUACGUUUCCAGUUUUCCACCGAGGAGCCGCACAGUCGGAGCAGCCCGUCUGUCCCUGCCUGUCCCUGCGGCCUGGGGCACCUGGCACGGGCUCUCCUCUGCCCCCUCCUCUGCACACACCUGCGGGGAAGCAAGAUCACGCCAAGAUGACACGCAACAGCCAUGAAAUAAUGAUGAAAUUAAACCAGUUUCUGACCUUGCUGUCUACUCUUUUGAUGAGGGCCCUGACAACCCAGCACUGAUGGUCCUUGUUUCACUGCCCCAUACUUCACCCCUGCUGCACUCCAUGGUGUCUCCAGCUAAAGUCCUUGUGGAUGAAGAAUUUGAAUGAAGAAACAGCUGGAAGACGAUCACAGGGAUGUUGGCCUCUGCUGCUGCUGGCCGAGUUGGGCAGCACUAAGGAGGAGACAUGGGACAGAGGGCUCAGAUGUUGCUUUGGAGUCAAAUACCCGGAGCUGUUCAGUCACUGCUCUUCCUUGGCCUUUUUUUGUCUUCCAUAACAGGAGUUGCUGCAGUUCUGCUGGAAAGUACCUGUUAUCCCACUCUUAAGUGGAGAACUCAGUCUCUCUUCCAAAGGACCAGAUCCACAAACUAGUUAUGCGUCUAAGUCCAACUGAUUUCUGUCUCAGUUGCCUGAGUAUCUUUGCGUAUCUGGACCUAAGUGUUUCAUCUGUGGUCAUUCAGGAAGUCUAUGGUAAGCAGAGAAGUGAAAAUACAUCCCAAGCUAAAGCUCUAACUACUGUGCCACUCUUCACUGGGAUUUUUUGGGGGCAGGAGGAGAUCUCAAUUUGCUGUGAAUAACAGCAGUAUUUUGCAUCUGCAUUUUGACAUCUGGCUUUAAAAUAAAAACCUGUAUCAUUGCUGCAAAUGGAUUGAUUAGCCUUUCAUAAACUGGAGAACUCACUUCAUCUGGCAUUGCCAUGGCUGAAAGCCAAUACUGCAAUUGAUCAUCUAAUUAACUGGAAGAAAAUUAAAGGAACUGUAAUCUGUGUCUCAGCUCUGUUGUUAUCAAGCUGGCAAAGUCCUUAUUUCUGCCUAGAGCAACAAUUGGUUCCUUGACCCUGCAAUUUAGAAAUGCUGGUUUAGGCAUCCCCCCCCUCACCUACCCACCUGGCUUUCUGCAAAGCAGGAAGAAACGCGACCUGAUCCUUCCUUCAUCAGCUUGUGGAUCCCAGACUUUGGGGUACCCGAUACCUCUCACAGCUGGCUGGAUCAGCUAAAUUCGCAUCUUCUCACCACAUCUGGGAAGGCUGUGGUUCUAGCUUCAUAAAACUGAACCCGGAAGAGAAAUGGAUAUACUAUAAAAGUCAUUUUUUAGAGGCUGAAAUGAGAACAUGGGAGAUUUUUAGUUUAUUUGAACACCAAAGUCUCCUUAAAGGGAUUGCAAUACUGAUUUUCAUAUUGCUACUUCAAAUACAUAAGAGAGAACAAUGCGUUUGAGAGAGAAAUUACCAGUCCUGAAAACUUGGUGAGCCCUUAAAGCUUUAACUUAAACAAGCAACUUGAGUGGUCUGUGAACAGAGAGAGAGAAAAAAAAAUGAGGUAAGAAGCCAUUGUUUUAAUGAUUGUGUUGCCAUAUCAAGAGAAGAAAGACAGCUGCUUCUAACUUGUCUUUGCAUGCCUAAGUAAUUUAUUAAUUACCUCAUUCCCCCAUAAAUGCCUACAGUCCUCCAAAAGGCAUGCUAAAACAGACAUAGUCAUUAAAGCUUGCACUGCAUUUUCUAAUGUGUUGUGGGAAAACAAACAAACAAAUAAAACCUCAAGCCCUUUGUGUUUUAGCUA